GACACUUCAAAUCAACUAUGGCUUUCCCAACAGCCUUUUCCUGGAAAGGAGAUUUUCUUCUAUAAAAGAAAUUUUUACAGAAAGAUUCUGAUACGGUCAACUAACUAGAGCAUCUGGUGUAUGCAGCUGGUCUAAGGUGGUUUUGCUGGUUGAGGAUUUGUGUCUGAAUGACCUGCAGAACUGAGUCCUUAGUUUGCAAACAUAAGUGAUGACUUCGGGUCAGCAACGACUGAGGAUUUCACCUGGCGGGCAGCAAACUUCAGUUCAUAAGAAGAAAUUUCAAAGGUGAGCUUCAUGACGCUUUGAACAAGGAGGAAAACUGUAGCUUUCCAUCAAAGCUGUGAGCCAAGCCAGGUUCCCAUCUGUGUGCUCUGCUCUACUUGAGAGGUCACGUCCAUGUGCCAUUACUAAGGAUGGAUGAUGGAGUAAUGCCAAGGUGUCAUGGCCAAAAGAUGAAUGACUUCUCCCUUCAGACCUG